rnacentral:rRNA from 1 species
UAAAUUGAGAGUUUGAUCCUGGCUCAGGACGAACGCUGGCGGCGUGCCUAACACAUGCAAGUCGAGCGAUGAAGCUUCCUUCGGGGAGUGGAUUAGCGGCGGACGGGUGAGUAACACGUGGGUAACCUGCCUCAAAGAGGGGGAUAGCCUCCCGAAAGGGAGAUUAAUACCGCAUAACAUUAUUUUAUGGCAUCAUAGAAUAAUCAAAGGAGCAAUUCGCUUUGAGAUGGACCCGCGGCGCAUUAGCUAGUUGGUGAGGUAAGGGCUCACCAAGGCGACGAUGCGUAGCCGACCUGAGAGGGUGAUCGGCCACAUUGGAACUGAGACACGGUCCAGACUCCUACGGGAGGCAGCAGUGGGGAAUAUUGCGCAAUGGGGGAAACCCUGACGCAGCAACGCCGCGUGAGUGAUGAAGGUUUUCGGAUCGUAAAACUCUGUCUUUAGGGACGAUAAUGACGGUACCUAAGGAGGAAGCCACGGCUAACUACGUGCCAGCAGCCGCGGUAAUACGUAGGUGGCAAGCGUUGUCCGGAUUUACUGGGCGUAAAGAGUAUGUAGGUGGGUGCUUAAGUCAGAUGUGAAAUUCCCGGGCUUAACCUGGGCGCUGCAUUUGAAACUGGGCAUCUAGAGUGCAGGAGAGGAAAGUGGAAUUCCUAGUGUAGCGGUGAAAUGCGUAGAGAUUAGGAAGAACACCAGUGGCGAAGGCGACUUUCUGGACUGUAACUGACACUGAGAUACGAAAGCGUGGGUAGCAAACAGGAUUAGAUACCCUGGUAGUCCACGCCGUAAACGAUGAAUACUAGGUGUCGGGGGGUACCACCCUCGGUGCCGCAGCAAACGCAUUAAGUAUUCCGCCUGGGGAGUACGGUCGCAAGAUUAAAACUCAAAGGAAUUGACGGGGACCCGCACAAGCAGCGGAGCAUGUGGUUUAAUUCGAAGCAACGCGAAGAACCUUACCUAGACUUGACAUCUCCUGAAUUACUCUUAAUCGAGGAAGUCCCUUCGGGGACAGGAAGACAGGUGGUGCAUGGUUGUCGUCAGCUCGUGUCGUGAGAUGUUGGGUUAAGUCCCGCAACGAGCGCAACCCUUAUUGUUAGUUGCUACUAUUAAGUUAAGCACUCUAACGAGACUGCCGCGGUUAACGUGGAGGAAGGUGGGGAUGACGUCAAAUCAUCAUGCCCCUUAUGUCUAGGGCUACACACGUGCUACAAUGGCUGGUACAACGAGCAGCAAACCCGCGAGGGGGAGCAAAACUUGAAAGCCAGUCCCAGUUCGGAUUGUAGGCUGAAACUCGCCUACAUGAAGUUGGAGUUGCUAGUAAUCGCGAAUCAGCAUGUCGCGGUGAAUACGUUCCCGGGUCUUGUACACACCGCCCGUCACACCAUGAGAGCCGGUAACACCCGAAGCCCGUGAGGUAACCGUAAGGAGCCAGCGGUCGAAGGUGGGAUUGGUGAUUGGGGUGAAGUCGUAACAAGGUAGCCGUAGGAGAACCUGCGGCUGGAUCACCUCCUUU